rnacentral:lncRNA from 10 species
UGAGAAGCAGCCAUUUAUUCAUAAAAGGAUCGCCAGUUUUGGUCCAUGCCUAUUAGUUAGAUGUGGCCAUGAAAAGGUGUUCUCAGUGGAGUGUGAAGGGAAGUGAUGUGGACCACUUCUGGAGCUGGCCCGCAAAAUCUCCUAAAAGAUCAUCCACGCUCUCUCCCUCAUUUACCAAAUGCAUAGAGAACAUCAAAAGACUUCCUACAAUGUUGGGUUAGUCAAUGAAAAGCUACUGGGGUCCUAAAUCACUGUGAAUCAGACCACCUCACUCAUCCUGCUGACGCAAAUGAACCUUGCGUGAAUACAAAAUUAAAUUUUAUUUCUUUCUUAUUUCUUAUUUUUUUCUUUCUUUUUUUUUUCUUUUUUUUUAGACAGGGUCUCAUUCUGUUACCUAGGCUGGAGUGCAGUGCCUCAUUAAAGCCUUGACCUCCCCAGCCUAAGUGAUCCUCCCACCUCAGCCUCAACCGGAGGUUGGGACCACAGGUGUGCACCACCAAACUUGGCUAAUUUUUUUUUUUUUUUUUGAGAGAUAAAGUCUCCCUAUGUUGCCCAGGCUGGUCUCAAACUCCUGGGUUCAAGGAAUCUUCCCUCCUCUGCCUCUCAAAGCACUGAGAUUACAGGCAUGAGCCACGACAUCCAGCUAAGUUUUCUUUUCAGCAACUGAAGUUUGGAGUUGUUCAUUACAACACUUAACUUAUAUGGACCAGAUCAUUCAUCCGGCCUCAACUGCUGCCUCUUAAACUCUAAGGAAACCCCUCCUGCCAACAAAUGCAAGAAAUAGAUAACAAUCUUAUAUGCUUACAGAAGCUAAUAAGUAAACAAAAGGCGUGAAGCAUGCUGGAUGUAUGGCUGAGGAGAUCAUAUGCCUAGGCUAAAGACAGCAGCAAUCAUUUAAGGAUAGUUUCAUUAUUUUUUUUGUUUUGUUUUCAUUAUUAUGACAGUGUUAACAGUUGGCAGAUACUUGGGGUAUGUGCCUUUGGUUGUCUUAUUCAGCACUUUUUUCUAGGAAGUGCUUGGCUCAUAGAUCACAAUCAAUAUUUUUUUUUCUUUCUUAUAAAAGGAUGAUUGAUUAUGUAAAUUAAAUAUAGGAGGCAGUUUUAAAAACCUUUAUAUUUGUCAGUAUACUCCUCUUAUCCUCUAACUAGG